rnacentral:rRNA from 1 species
UACGAAGGGGGCUAGCGUUGCUCGGAAUUACUGGGCGUAAAGGGCGCGUAGGCGGACAGUUUAGUCAGAGGUGAAAGCCCAGGGCUCAACCUUGGAAUUGCCUUUGAUACUGGCUGUCUUGAGUCCGGGAGAGGUGAGUGGAACUGCGAGUGUAGAGGUGAAAUUCGUAGAUAUUCGCAAGAACACCAGUGGCGAAGGCGGCUCACUGGCCCGGUACUGACGCUGAGGUGCGAAAGCGUGGGGAGCAAACAGG